rnacentral:rRNA from 1 species
GAUGAACGCUGGCGGCGUGCCUAAUACAUGCAAGUCGAGCGAACGGACGAGAAGCUUGCUUCUCUGAUGUUAGCGGCGGACGGGUGAGUAACACGUGGAUAACCUACCUAUAAGACUGGGAUAACUUCGGGAAACCGUAGCUAAUACCGGAUAAUAUUUUGAACCGCAUGGUUCAAAAGUGAAAGACGGUCUUGCUGUCACUUAUAGAUGGAUCCGCGCUGCAUUAGCUAGUUGGUAAGGUAACGGCUUACCAAGGCAACGAUGCAUAGCCGACCUGAGAGGGUGAUCGGCCACACUGGAACUGAGGCACGGUACAGACUCCUACGGGAGGCAGCAGUAGGGAAUCUUCCGCAAUGGGCGAAAGCCUGACGGAGCAACGCCGCGUGAGUGAUGAAGGUCUUCGGAUCGUAAAACUCUGUUAUUAGGGAAGAACAUAUGUGUAAGUAACUGUGCACAUCUUGACGGUACCUAAUCAGAAAGCCACGGCUAACUACGUG